CGCCCGGCAGUUAAAGAUGCCGGAGGAGGACACGAAGCCCUUCGUUUCCCGCUUCGCUUGCCAUGGCCCUCACCAACCCUAAUCCCCUUCUCUCCAAACCCUUACCCCCGCCUCUCCUUCGCAUCCCCUCGCGUUGCUUCCUCCGUUGCCGCGCAGCCGCGGACGCCUCCUCGGACUGGUUCCGCCCCCGGGGCGACCCGCCCGAUGGAGGGAGAAUGUCUGCCCGGGACCCCGGGACUCGAAUUAACGCGACGGAGGAGAGCACGGACCAGAGCAGCAGCGGCAAUAAGAAGAAGAAGAAGAAAAGCAAGUGGUGGUGGUGGUCUCGGGACCGGGAGAGCUACUUGGCCAACGACUCCGACGCCCUGCCGCUGCCGAUGACCUACCCUGACUCUUCCCCGGUGUCACCGCAGGAGAUCGACCGCAGGCUCCAGUGUGAUCCCAGUAUCGAGGAUUGUAAGCCAGUGGUGUACGAGUGGACGGGGAAGUGUAGGAGUUGCCAGGGGACGGGGUUGGUGAGCUACUACAACAAAAGGGGGCGGGAGACGAUCUGCAAGUGCGUUCCCUGCCUUGGAAUAGGAUAUGUCCAGAAAAUAACGGUACGGGAGGACAUCAAUGUGAUGGAAGAUGUAGACAAUGGAAAACCACCUUAAUUCAUUCCUUCGACAAGGAAUUAUAUAUAAAUUUGUGCAUCCAAAUUCUGGUGAUGACAUACACACCGCUGAUACUUCUGCUUCUGUUCCAUCUCCUGAUGUGAUAAGCGGAUGUCAGGACUCCACAUUCUUUAUUUUCAAUCUGACUAUCCAAAUUCAUUGGUUUGAAGCUGGUAAAGUGGUUAUCAGAUUACAGGUUUGAUGCUAUUUUUUGACCCCAAAUGUUAAGGAGAUGAUGCAGGAGUUCAACAAGUAUCAAACAAAAAAAAUCAGAUAGAAGUUGAAACUGAAAGCAAAACCAAGGUUGGGAGUGUGGCAAAUGAUGCAAGCUGCUGACUUAACAAAAAUAGCUUUAACAAGUUCGCAAAGCUGACUGAGAAAGGCUUUAAGGUCCUUGAUAUUGGAGGCACUUUUUGGAUGUUCGAUCAAGUUUGUGAUGGCCGAAAUUGUUCAAAGGGACACAAAAAAGAUACCUUUCAAGGAUGCACCCUGAGAUGAGUGCCAGAAUAACACCAAAGGUAGACAAGAAUGGCAAUCGGCUGUCAUGAGCUCUUACAGCCGAGAUUAAGUUGACCUAAUAUAAGUUAUGAGUCAAAUUAAGCAGGAGCCCUUGAAAAUAGAGCCAGGAAUGACUUUUAUUCCGUGCAUGUUUUGUAUUGUUUUACAGCUAAUGCAAUUUCUAAAAUUAAUGCAGCUCUCUCUCACUUCUAAAUUUUGGUCUUCUUUCUUUACAUUUCCUGCAAUCAGCUGAUGUGUGCAAGGUUUACAGUAAGUUUAGCAUUUUUGCAAAUGUGCCUUGUCUGAUGAACUUUAGUGCAUCAAAAAAGUGCUUCCAUAUAAUCAUGUGCAUUUUCUAUUCCUUUCAUAUAUUGUAGUUUUAUCCAGGUCUGAUUUAAAUGAUAUAUUAUAUUUAGUGUAAAAGGAGGCAUAUGUUGGAAAGGAGGGAGUCAUUACAAGGAUUCAUUAUCUCUUCUAAUAGUUGUUCGUUUCUCAUUUACUUUUUUCAUAUAUCUCUUUUUUUUUGUUCUGUUUAAGCCAUUAUUAUUUUGCUUGGACCUGCUUCCUGGUUCUUUCUCAUGCCUCAAAUGUUGAGACUUCUUAGACCACUUUUAUAAGACCAACCCUGGAACUAUUAUCUAUAGUUGUUUGUCUCAUUAUGGCCGACAUGUAAGUGCAAGAAAUCAGUUGUUUAGAUUCCUUUUUCUUAUGCUACAAUCAUCAUGCAACAUGCAUCUGAACUUAAGAUUAGGGGGAGAAACCCUAAGACAGUUGCUGAAUUAAAUACCUUUGAAUGAAGGCUUACUGCAUCAGAUGUCGCAAAAUGUAGCUUAAGAUUGUGUGAAACCAGGGACACCACAGGAAUAUAUAGUUUCUAUUACUAGCUAUUCACACAUGGAGAACUUGUAGGAAUAGGCUUUGGUUGUGUAAAUACCAAUCAUCAAGUAGAUAUGAUCAUGCAUCAACAGCACACAAUUUUAACAACACAUUACCUGCAGUGCCAUGUCCACCACUUGUGCCUCAAGUACAUAGCAUUGAUAAUUUCAGAAGUUGUCAAGUAAAUCAUUACACAAGUUACAGUUACCGGCUCGAUGAACAUUAUCAAUGAACGGAUACAAAAGCAUUAUUGCAUCGAACCAUAGAUUGAAAAAAAUGGCUCUCUCAAACUUGAAUUGAGAAAUUUGUUAAGAAUUAGGAGUUAGAACUACAGCAUCUACAUACAUUAUUUGAUAUUCUAAAGAAGUGCAUUUAGUCAUAAGGAAGCAACUUAGUAUCUUGUUCCUUCAGUUAAGAGCUUUUGGUAAACUUUCAGCUAUCUUAUUUUCUUACUUGUAUUAUGGAUCCCUAAUUUGGUGCGAAUAUGAUUGUCUUCUCCUGGUCAUGAAGACCAUUAUCUUCUUUUAAUGUCAAAUUCUUUGUUCAUGAAUUAUCAGCAGAAGUAUAAAUAGAUUAAAAAUACAUUGAUAUCUCAUCCUGUUUGUCUCUUCUCUUUUCCUCGCCAACCUCAGCUCAUAGCGUCUUUUCCAAUUUUUGUUGAAGGUGGAGGAUUUGGCUGUUCUUUCUGGAGGGUAAUGGUCUCUUCAAGGAGAGGGGUGGGAAACACAAGACUCGCAUGCCUCUUGAACUGAUAUAUGAUAGCAUUCAUGGCCUUUGGAACCGCAUUGGGGUGGGGAACAUAUCACUCACAUGCCUACUCAAGACUCCUUUUGAUAUGAAGUUCCUCAAGGAUGAAUCCUUGCCACCAACGAGGGAGACCAAAAGAGGGAGAGAUCAUCUCUUUUUGGCUACUACUAAGAGGCCAUCUGCGGCGCGCCGGUGGUGCCGCCGAUGAACCCGCGCAUCUCGUUCUCCAGCGACUUCGUCGUGGAGCAGCACGCCGCACGGACCACGAGCCCGCCGCCCGAUCCCGACUUCGAGUUUGCCGUCGGCAGCCACUCGAUGAUCGACGCUGAUCGACUCUUCUUCGAGGGCCGGCUGCUCCCGCUCAAGGACACCCACCAACGCGGGCCGUAUCAGCGGGUCAUCACCACCUUGAGGGAAGAGCUUCGGACUGACGAGGAGGACGGGGCCCGGUGGGAGCGGCCGCUGAAAGGAUCCAUUAACUGGAGGGUGUUGUUUGGAAUCAAGAAGGCCCGUCGCCGCUCGGCGGCGGCAGUGACGGCAAAGAAGAGCGACGAGGUUGAUGAUGAGCUUCUUGUCAAGCCAACAUAGGACCUCUAAGGCCAAGAAGGAGCCUUCUCUAAUGGCGGAAGUGAUAAAUUCUUCAUGAUACUGAAGCAACGAAGAGAGAAGGGACAGUUCAUGAACAGGCACUGGGAUUUGAGGAGGCAGCUGUAUAUUAAGUCAUCAAUCAAUCACUGUUUUCUGUCAAUUAAUUCACUGUACUUUCAACCAUGUGGUGUUUAUGGCCCUUCUCUUCUUCCCUUUGUCUGCUGUACACAAAGUUUCAGCUGGAAGAUUAAUUGUGUGAAUGCUGAACCUGAAUUCAAAUCUGUGCAGAUGAGGUUCUCUUGCUGCAAUCUUGUUUGUCCCUCUUGGUUGGGGAACAGUCAUGCCUUUGUCCUGUUGUCUGAGUUCUGAGGAACAAAGAGCAGAGACAGAGACUGUGGAGGUAACAUGAUUUUGGAUUCUGUCACUCAUGUCCUUGUUCUUGUUACCAGCAAACUUUAGAAAAUAUUAUAUGCCAACAACUUGUUCUACUCUAUUAUUUCA